rnacentral:rRNA from 1 species
UACGGGGGGGGCAAGCGUUGUUCGGAAUUACUGGGCGUAAAGGGCUCGUAGGUGGCCAAUUAAGUCAGACGUGAAAUCCCCAGGCUUAACCUGGGAACUGCGUCUGAUACUGGUUGGCUUGAAUUCGGGAGAGGGAUGCAGAAUUCCAGGUGUAGCGGUGAAAUGCGCAGAUAUCAGGAGGAACACCAAUGGCGAAGGCAGCUCACUGGGACGAUACUGACGCUGAGACGCGAAAGCGUGGGGAGCAAACAGG